CACGCCCUAAACGAUGUCAACUGGUUGUUGGGAGAUUUAUUCUCUUAGUAACGAAGCUAACGCGUGAAGUUGACCGCCUGGGGAGUACGGUCGCAAGAUUAAAACUCAAAGGAAUUGACGGGGGCCCGCACAAGCGGUGGAUGAUGUGGAUUAAUUCGAUGCAACGCGAAAAACCUUACCUACGCUUGACAUGUCCCGAAUCCCGAUGAAAGUUGGGGGUGCUCGAAAGAGAACGGGAACACAGGUGC
rnacentral:rRNA from 1 species